rnacentral:rRNA from 1 species
CGUAUAUUUAAGUUGUUGCAGUUAAAAAGCUCGUAGUCGGAUUUUGGCUGAGAACGAACGGUCCGCCGUUAGGUGUGCACUGUUUGGUCUCAGCUUCCUGGUGAGGAGGUGUGCUUCACGGCCACUUAGUCACCGUGGUUACUUUGAAAAAAUUAGAGUGUUCAAAGCGGGCUUACGCUUGAAUAUAUUAGCAUGGAAUAACACCAUAGGACUCCUGUCCUAUUUCGUUGGUCUCGGGACGGGAGUAAUGAUUAAGAGGAACAGUUGGGGGCAUUCGUAUUUCAUUGUCAGAGGUGAAAUUCUUGGAUUUAUGAAAGACGAACUUCUGCGAAAGCAUUUGCCAAGGAUGUUUUCAUUGAUCAAGAACGAAAGUUGGGGGCUCGAAGAUGAUUAGAUACCAUCCUAGUCUCAACCAUAAACGAUGCCGACUAGGGAUUGGCGGAUGUUAAUUGAUGACUUCGCCAGCACCUUAUGAGAAAUCAAAGUUUUUGGGUUCCGGGGGGAGUAUGGUCGCAAGGCUGAAACUUAAAGGAAUUGACGGAAGGG